rnacentral:tRNA from 1 species
UGCAUCGUAGCAAAGCGGUAAUGCAGCGAGCCGUUAACUCGCAUAUCGUUGGUUCGAAUCCAGCCGAUGCAGCCA